GGCUCAAUGGUCUAGUAGUAUGAUUCCUGCUUCGGGUGAGAACUCAUGCGCGUCGCGUGUAAUAUGCAGGAGGUCCCGGGUUCAAUUCCCGGUUGAGCCC